rnacentral:rRNA from 1 species
GUGGUCAAGCUAAUAAGGGCUUGCGGAGGAUACCUAGGCACACAGAGGCGAAGAAGGACGUGGCUACCAACGAAAAGCUCCGGGGAGUUGGAAGCAAGCAUUGAGCCGGAGAUGUCCGAAUGGGGGAACCCUAAAAACUGCCUAUUGAAUAUAUAGAUAGGUAAGAGCGAACCGGGCGAACUGAAACAUCUUAGUAGCCCGAGGAAAAGAAAUCAAACGAGAUUCUCCAAGUAGUGGUGAGCGAACGGGGAAGAGCCUAAACCAACAAGCUUGCUUGUUGGGGUAGUGGGACAGCAAAAAGCGAAUCGUAGAGUUAGACGAAGCAUUGAAAAGAUGCACCAGAGAAAGUGAAAGUCUUGUAGUCGAAAACUUGAAGAUAGCAGCUGAAUCCCGAGUAGCAUGGGGCACGUGAAAUCCCAUGUGAAUCAGUCUCGACCACGAGAUAAGGCUAAAUACUCCUGUGUGACCGAUAGCGAAACAGUACCGCGAGGGAAAGGUGAAAAGAACCCCAACAAGGGGAGUGAAAAAGAACAUGAAACCGCAAGCCCACAAGCAGUGGGAGGACGAUUAAACGUCUGACCGCGUGCCUGUUGAAGAAUGAGCCGGCGAGUUAUAAGCACUGGUGGGUUAAGUGAAUUGCACGAAGCCAAAGCGAAAGCGAGUCUGAAGAGGGCGAAAUCAGUGUUUAUAGACCCGAACCCUGGUGAUCUAACCAUGACCAGGAUGAAGCUUGGGUAACACCAAGUGGAGGUCCGCACCGACCGAUGUUGAAAAAUCGGCGGAUGAGUUGUGGUUAGGGGUGAAAUGCCAAUCGAACCAGGAGCUAGCUGGUUCUCCCCGAAAUGUGUUGAGGCGCAGCGGUUGUGAAGAACUCGGGGGGUAAAGCACUAUUUCGGUGCGGGCUGCGAGAGCGGUACCAAAUCGAGAUAAACUCUGAAUACCCGAAGAAAACACAGCCAGUGAGACGGUGGGGGAUAAGCUUCAUCGUCAAGAGGGAAACAGCCCAGACCACCAGCUAAGGUCCCCAAAUCAUCGCUAAGUGGCAAAGGAGGUGGGAGUGCAUAGACAACCAGGAGGUUUGCCUAGAAGCAGCCACCCUUGAAAGAGUGCGUAAUAGCUCACUGGUCAAGCGCUCCUGCGCCGAAAAUGAAUGGGACUAAGCGAUGUACCGAAGCUGUGGGAUUACAUUUGUUUGUAAUCGGUAGGGGAGCGUUCUAUAUGGGAAGAAGCACUAGCGGCAAGCAGGUGUGGACUGUAUAGAAGUGAGAAUGUCGGCUUGAGUAGCGCAAACAUUGGUGAGAAUCCAAUGCCCCGAAACCCCAAGGGUUCCAGAGCCAGGUUCGUCCACUCUGGGUUAGUCGGGACCUAAGGCGAGGUCGAACGGCGUAGUCGAUGGACACAGGGUCAACAAUCCCUGACUAAAGUAUGGGAGCAUUGCUAGGGACGCAUGAGUGGGGGCUACACCCUGACUGGAUUGGGAGGAGUUUACGAACUCCGCGUAGUCGAAAUGAGUGCCAAGAAAAGCUAGUAAUGUGUUGAGCAUACUUUACCCGUACCCGAAACCGACACAGGUGGGGAGGUUGAGAAUACCAAGGGGCGCGAGAUAACUCUCUCUAAGGAACUCGGCAAAAUGGCCCCGUAACUUCGGAAGAAGGGGUGCCCACCUUCACAGGUGGGUCGCAGUGAAGAGAUCCAGGCGACUGUUUACCAAAAACACAGGUCUCCGCAAACUCGUAAGAGCAUGUAUGGGGGCUGACGCCUGCCCAGUGCCGGAAGGUUAAG